UCCGGCUCUGUCGCUGGAGAGCCUUGGCGGAAUUAAGUGCACUGGAGACCGAGUUGGAAAAAGACAUUCCCUGGUGCGAGCAGAGGAGCGGCCGGGACGAGGACUGCCAGAGACACACAGGCAAGGAGACAGCAGACGUCCACCACUUGGCUGCUGCAGGUGCUGCAGACUGGGGUCACUGGUUUGAUCCCUGGAAGUCAGGCGAAGCUGAUAAGGCUCUACAGCCGGGGCUCGAGAAGGCACACCCUCGCCGCUCUUGUUCAGCGACUAAAAAUAAGCGGUGAAGUAAUGUGAAAAACACUGCUCUAUUUACAUUCUGGGACGGGGAGAAACGGUGAGAACGUGGAGAGAGAGAGAGAGAGAGAGA